rnacentral:tRNA from 1 species
GUGGUGGUAGCGUAAUGGCUAAGGAGCUAGGCUAGUAUCUGAAAAGUUGUGGGUUCAAUUCCCACCUUCCACU